GCCAACCAAUGACUUCAUCCCUGUUUGGGUAGUGCUUUCACAUUGGGUUUCUUAGAGGCCAUUAACCAGUGUAAAGAUUUGCUUACCUGUGGUCCCAUGCAGGGCUGCUCCUGUGAGCAUGGCAGUUGCUCUCAGAAGUGGACUGUGAGUGUGGUGGGCACCGUGAGUGACCAGUCCAGCACAAUGAUUAUAGGCCAUCUGAGCAGCUAAGGAGAAGACAGAUCACUCAAGAACUGAAGUUGUUUAUUAGCUACAGCAUUUCUGCUGCUGUGAUACACAUUCAGCCAUUUUGGAGGAAAGCUAAGCAGUACUGACUGCCCAUUUUCAUGAACUUUAAAUAACAAAUACUAUUUUUCAAGAUCUUCAUUUUAUCAUUAAAUUCAGCUAAUUACUACCUGUUUAAAAAUAAAUAAAUAAAUAAAUUUCAGAAUAUCUGAAACUCAGUUUCAGAUAUUCUGUUACAUGCGACAGAAAAUGAACUAAGACAUGUGCUGAGUAGGAUUUAUGAUUUUAUGAACUUUGGAUUUUGUUUUCAAUACAGUUGUUUAAACUUCAUUAUAGGCUGGGUGUGGUGGCUCAUGCCUGUAAUUCUGGCAUUUUGAGAGGCUGAGAUGGGAGGAUUGCUUGAGGCCAGGAGUUUGAGAUCAGCCUGGCCAACAUAGGGAGACCCCAUCUCUACCAAAAAAAAAAAAAUUAGCUAGGCAUGGUGGUGCAUGCCUGUGGUCCACCUAAUUGGGAGGCUGAGGUGGGAGGAUCACUUGAGCCCAGAAGGUUGAGGCUGCAGUAAGCCAAGAUCGUGCCACUGCACUCCAGCCUGGGUGACAGAGAGAGACUAUCUCAAAAAACAAAACAAAACACAAAUAGACUUUGUUAUGGUGGACUUAUUUUUUUUCCCUCAUUAUAUUCCUAAGAAACUUUCUGUAAGUCUAUGCUAUAAUAUUAAAAUAAAGUAUACCUUCUUCACAAGAUACCAAAUUUAUUAACCAAGGUGAAAAAAUUGGUGACAAACUACCAGGCUGCUUUCACCUACCUGUGUAACAAUGUUUUCUCUAGUAAAUUAACAUUUGAAGAUGUUAUGAACAGAUGACCAUGCCAUAUGAGCAACAAACUAUGAAGAAUGAACAUUUAUAAACACUUUACUUUUGUUAUUGAAUAAAAUUUACAACCAGGUUAA